rnacentral:rRNA from 1 species
GACGAACGCUGGCGGCGUGCUUAACACAUGCAAGUCGAACGGAAAGGCCCUGCUUUUGUGGGGUGCUCGAUUGGCGAACGGGUGAGUAACACGUGAGUAUCCUGCCCUUGACUUUGGGAUAACUUCAGGAAACUGGGGCUAAUACCGGAUAGGAGCUCCUGCUGCAUGGUGGGGGUUGGAAAGUUUCGGCGGUUGGGGAUGGACUCGCGGCUUAUCAGCUUGUUGGUGGGGUAGUGGGUUACCAAGGCUUUGACGGGUAGCCGGCCUGAGAGGGUGACCGGCCACAUUGGAACUGGGGUACGGCCAAGACUCCUACGGGAGGCAGCGGUGGGGAAUAUUGCACAAGGGGCGGAGGCCGGAUGCAGCAACGCCGCGUGCGGGAUGACGGCCUUCGGGUUGUAAACCGCUUUCGCCUGUGACGAAGCGUGAGUGACGGUAAUGGGAAAAGAAGCACCGGCAAACUACGU